GUAACGGGGCCUUUCCUUCGGGACACCGGAGACAGGUGGUGCAUGGUUGUYGUCAGCUCGUGUCGUGAGAUGUUGGGUUAAGUCCCGCAACGAGCGCAACCCUUAUCCUUAGUAGCCAGCAAUUCGGUUGGGCACUCUGGGGARACUGCCAGGGAUAACCUGGAGGAAGGUGGGGAUGACGUCAAAUCAUCAUGCCCCUUAUGAUCUGGGCUACACACGUGCUACAAUGGCGUAAACAAAGGGAAGCAGCCCCGCGAGGGUGAGCGAACCCCAAAAAUAACGUCUCAGUUCGGACUGCAGUCUGCAACUCG
rnacentral:rRNA from 1 species